rnacentral:rRNA from 1 species
CCUACGGGUGGCUGCAGUGGGGAAUAUUGGGCAAUGGGCGAAAGCCUGACCCAGCAAUGCCGCGUGAAUGAAGAAGGUCUUCGGAUUGUAAAGUUCUGUCCUAUGGGAAGAAAAUAAUGACGGUACCAUAGGAGGAAGCCCCGGCUAACUACGGGUCAGCAGCCGCGGUACUACGUAGGGGGCGAGCGGUGUCCGGAAUUACUGGGCGUAAAGUGAGCGGAGGCGGCACUACAAGUCUCAUGUGAAAUACCCGGGCUUCACUUGGGGGUUGCAUGGGAAACUGGAGAGCUUGAGUACAGGAGAGGCAAGCGGAAUUCCUAGUGUAGCGGUGAAAUGCAUAGAUAUUAGGAGGAACACCAGUGGCGAAGGCGGCUUGCUGGACUGAAACUGACGCUGAGGCUCGAAAGCAUGGGUAGCGAACAGGAUUAGAUACCCGAGUAGUC